AGCUGUGCAAACAAAAAAAUACACGGGAAAGGGUUGUGGGGUUUCUCUGGGUUUUCCUUCCCCGGCGAUCGGACCGCCGUUCGUCUGUCGCCGACGACCACCGUAUGCGGUGGCCGGCGGUAUGAAACCGAACCCUUUUUAACCCUUCUUUCUUCUCUGACCCAAAUCUUGAGUCUAUACACUCAAAAACAAAAAAAGAUCCCGCGAGCUGACAAAACGCGAAGGAACCUCUCGGUUUCCAACAUUUUCGGCCACCAAAAAUAGGCUUAGGGGGUCAAUGGGGCAGAAGCUUGCCAUUUUGGUGCAAGCAGUGUCAGGGGAGCCGUCCCUCGAGCGGAGCGAGCGCCGAGGACGCACAUGGAGGCUGCGGUGCCUAGGGUUUCCUUGGCUGAGAGUGUUCAAGCUAUGGGCUAUUCUUUGGGCUAGGGUUUUUUAGUUUUGGGCCUACAAAAUUUGGGCUUUUUUUAUGUAAAUGGACUGUUAAUAAAUCUUGGAUUUUUACUCA